GCUAAUGUUGGGCCAUGUAAUAUGUAAUACAUUAACGUUUUAAUGAAUAGUCUAACGAGUUAUAGUCGUUGUACUCUAUUGUUAUAAUAUGUCUUUUUGACUGAAUACAUGUUUGUUUUAUUUGCCUAUAUCCUAGAUUCGCAGCUGGACACAUCCUUCUGAACUGUAUGCAAACAUGCAACAUCAUUACACACAGUACAAGGAGUCAGAUUGGCAUAUGAGGAGCAAAGGAACCCAGGCAGUAGCAUCGUUUCACAAUGUUUCCAUCACCAUCAUCAGUGGAUGCCUUUGCCGUCCGUAGCCUGAGAUUUCAGAUUUGCAGCAAAAAAUUUUGAUUUUCUCAUUUAUUGGAAUGCUGUGCAGGUUGUACCUUGCAGCCAUCCAUUACAAUGUCACCAAGCCGUAACAAAAGCAGGAGAGGGAAAGUACAAGGCUAUGUUCCCAAAAACACACAAGUGACAUACCUUAUGUGGAUGAUGGGGUUGUGUUUGAUGAGGUAUUUGAAGAUAAGCUGAAGGAAACCCCGAUUCCAAUGGACCUGGCAUCACAGUUUGAGAGACCUUCAAAGGAGGACGUGAUUGCAUGCCAUCUUCAGUGCAGGGGUCGUCAAAAGCCAAAAUUGUGACCGAUCUGAUCAGGAAGCUCCAAGCAAAUCUGGAGAACAACACACGACAGGAUGAUAACCUUAUAGUGUCGCCUUAAAUAGCACCAGCUGACAAAGCUUUGAUAUGCCAUUUAUCUGAAUAGAUAG